rnacentral:rRNA from 1 species
AGUGAACGCUGGCGGCGUGCCUAAUACAUGCAAGUCGAACGAACGAAUAAGAGCUUGCUCUUAUAAGUUAGUGGCGCACGGGUGAGUAAUAUAUAGCUAAUCUGCCUCUUAGUAGAGGAUAACAGUCGGAAACGAUUGCUAAUACUCUAUACUUCUGCUUUACAUAAGUAAAGUAGAGAAAGUUUUUCGCUAAGAGAUGAGGCUAUACUGUAUCAGCUAGUUGGUAAGGUAACGGCUUACCAAGGCUAUGACGCAUAACUGGUCUGAGAGGAUGAUCAGUCACAUUGGAACUGAGACACGGUCCAAACUCCUACGGGAGGCAGCAGUAGGGAAGAUUGCGCAAUGGGGGAAACCCUGACGCAGCAACGCCGCGUGGAGGAUGACACCUUUCGGAGCGUAAACUCCUUUUAUCGGGAAAGAAUAAUGACGGUACCCGAUGAAUAAGCACCGGCUAACUCCGUG